AGCUGGAUCAUUUCGAAAGUUUUCGAACACAAACCAUUCUCAGUUCUCCGGGCUGACGUGAAUUUUCACUUGGCUGGAGUUGGAACAACUCAUAACGGUGGAUGUCUUGGCUUCCCAAUCGAUGAAGGACGCGGCAACAUGCGAUAAGUCGUAUGAAUUGCAGAAUCAAGCGUAUUAUCAAACCUUUGAACGCCACGUGCGUGCUGGCUUUUAGGUCAAGCACGCCCACGGUUCAGUGCCGAUAACUGUGUUGGGGACAAAUUAGGCCCUUAAACAUUUGGUUUCGUACCAAUUAUCAUUUUCAAGGCCUGAGCUGUGGACGACCACCCGCUGAACUUAAGCAUAUCAUUAAGCGGAGGAAAAGAAAACAACUGUGAUUCCCUUAGUAGCGGCGAGCGAAGAGGGAAAAGCCCAAGCCGAAUCGGACCUGUUCCGAAUUGUGGAGUAUGAAGUUCCUUGUAUUUCCGCAUGCUGGAAAAGUCUUCCUGGAAAGGAGUGCCCUAGAGGGUGAUAGCCCCGUUUUCUGGUCUCUGCGCGAAACAACACCUUGGAACUUUCGGAGUAGUACUGCUUGGGAAUGCAGUGCGAAUGGCAGGUAUACCUCUGCCAAGGCUAAAUAUCUUGGGAAGACCGAUAGCGCACAAGUAGCGUGAGCGAAAGAUGAAAAGCACUUUGGAGAGAGAGUGAAAGAGUACCUGAAGCCGUUAUGAGGUAAGGGAUGGACCACUAUCCAAGGCAUGGAGAAGAAAGGCUCACUCGAGCUAACCUCGCUCUGUGUCAUGUCUGCCGCUGUUCUGCGCUCUAGCUUACUGGUUUGGGGGCAACUCUAUUCGCGGUUUGUACUUGAAGUUAUGGACAGUUAUCCUUCGCUGGGUGUGAAACGCUGGGGCGUCCGACAUGGUCGCUGGCUGGCCGGAUAGCCGCUUCGGUGGUGAUUCCUGUUGGUUGGUUGCUGUGAAAGUGCUUCCGUUUUCUUCUCAGUAGGCAGGCUUUGAGAUGGCUACGGCCACGAUGGGGUUCAUCCGCCCGUCUUGAAACACGGACCAAGGAGUCUAACAAGUAUGCGAGUCAUAUACUUAUUGAAAGUAUAAGGCGAACUGAAAGGGAAGCGCGCCGUACGCGUGUGGUGUCAACCAUUGGUCUUCGACCAUAGGUGCAGCACCGGCCGAGGUCGGACAAUCGGUCUGAUUUUUGAGCCUAAGCAUACAUGUUGGGACCCGAAAGGUGGUGACCUAUGCCUGAACAGGACGAAGCCGAGGGAAACCUGGGUGGAGGUCCGUAGCGAUGUUGACGUGCAAAUCGCUCGUUUGAUUUAGGUAUAGGGGCGGAAAGACUCAUCGAACCACCUAGUAGCUGGUUCACCC
rnacentral:misc_RNA from 1 species